rnacentral:misc_RNA from 1 species
UGUAAAAUAUUAGUGGGGGCAUCAAUGGAGUUGGUGAUGGACUAAUUAUGGCACUCUAUAUUUCUCUCUCUGUAGCCAUUAAUAGUGUCUCUCUCUCUCUUUCUCUCUCCAAAAUAUACUAGAGUCUCGAUGUCAAGCAACAGCCAGAGUCACACUUUUCCUGGAAGCAGCAGUCUUGGAGCUUGCUGUAGCUGUGGAUGGUGAUGCAUGGCGAUCUUCUUUCUUUG